AGUGGCGGACGGGUGAGUAACGCGUGAGAAUCUACCUUCAGGAUGGGGAUAACAGUGGGAAACGACUGCUAAGACCCGAUGUGCCGAGAGGUGAAAAAUUUAUUGCCUGAAGAAGAGCUCGCGUCUGAUUAGCUAGAUGGUGGGGUAAGAGCCUACCAUGGCGACGAUCAGUAGCUGGUCUGAGAGGAUGAGCAGCCACACUGGGACUGAGACACGGCCCAGACUCCUACGGGAGGCAGCAGUGGGGAAUUUUCCGCAAUGGGCGAAAGCCUGACGGAGCAACGCCGCGUGGGGGAAGAAGGUUCUUGGAUUGUAAACCCCUUUUCUUAAGGAAGAAAAAAAUGACGGUACUUAAGGAAUAAGCAUCGGCUAACUCCGUGCCAGCAGCCGCGGUAAUACGGAGGAUGCAAGCGUUAUCCGGAAUCAUUGGGCGUAAAGCGUCCGCAGGUGGUCUGAUAAGUCUAGGGUCAAAGACAGAAGCUCAACUUCUGCAAGGCCAAGGAAACUGUGAGACUAGAGGCAGGUAGGGGUAGCAGGAAUUCCCAGUGUAGCGGUGAAAUGCGUAGAGAUUGGGAAGAACAUCGGUGGCGAAAGCGUGCUACUGGGCUGAGCCUGACACUGAGGGACGAAAGCUAGGGGAGCGAAAGGGAUUAGAUACCCCUGUAGUCCUAGCCGUAAACGAUGGA
rnacentral:rRNA from 1 species